AUGAUCACAAAGAUGGACUUGAGCUUGUGUGGAGGGGGAAACUACAUGGCCGACUGCAUGAUCUUGCAACUGGGAGAUACUCUCCGGGAGCUCGUCCUGGAUGGGUGGACACAGUUAACCGGUGAUCUUGAGGAGCCUCUCGGUAGGCGCUGCCGCAGUCUGGCCAGGCUCAGAUUGCGAUACAUCGACAUCAACGACUAUAAGUUGCGGUUUAUGAUGUCCGAGAAAUUAGAGAAUCUUGAGGAGAUUGUGCCGAAGGGGACUUUCAUCACCGACGAGGCACUGCAAGUUUUGCUCAUGUCGUGGUUGCCUAUUCUCCAGAAAAUCAACACUCAGCAUUUCCCCUGUGUCACCUCGUUCACCGCCACCAUGCAGGAGUUCUUUGAAAGAUGUAGGAAUGAAUGA
rnacentral:rRNA from 1 species